rnacentral:snRNA from 1 species
ACACUUACCUGGUAUAGGGGUUACCGUGAUCAUAAAGGCGGUUCCCCCAGGGUGAGACCCUUCCAUUGCACUCUGAUAAUUGCCAUCGUACAUCGAUUUAAGGCUCAAGCAUCCAUCAUCAUUUUUCGGAAAAUAAAAAGCAGUUUUCUC